GAUGAACGCUAGCGGGGGGCCUAACACAUGCAAGUCGAGUGAGUUUAGACUCACGGCAAACGGGUGCGUAACACGUGCUUUACUUACCUUGGAGUGGGGGAUAACAUCGGAAACGGUGAUAAUCCCGCAUACGCCCUACGGGGGAAAGAUUUAUCGCUCUAAGAGAGGGGCGCGGCCUAUUAGCUAGUUGGUGAGGUAAUAGCUCACCAAGGCCAUGAUGGGUAGCUGGUCUGAGAGGAUGAUCAGCCACAAUGGAACUGAGACACGGUCCAUACCCCUACGGGGGGCAGCAGUGGGGAAUAUUGCACAAUGGACGAAAGUCUGAUGCAGCCACCCCGCGUGGAGGAUGAAGCAUUAAGGUGUGUAAACUCCUUUUCUGGAGGAAGACGACUGACGGUACUCCAGGAAUAAGCGACGGCUAACUACG
rnacentral:rRNA from 1 species